rnacentral:rRNA from 1 species
UGGGGAAUAUUGGACAAUGGGCGAAAGCCUGAUCCAGCCAUGCCGCGUGUGUGAAGAAGGUCUUCGGAUUGUAAAGCACUUUAAGUUGGGAGGAAGGGCAGUUACCUAAUACGUAUCUGUUUUGACGUUACCGACAGAAUAAGCACCGGCUAACUCUGUGCCAGCAGCCGCGGUAAUACAGAGGGUGCAAGCGUUAAUCGGAAUUACUGGGCGUAAAGCGCGCGUAGGUGGUUUGUUAAGUUGGAUGUGAAAUCCCCGGGCUCAACCUGGGAACUGCAUUCAAAACUGACAAGCUAGAGUAUGGUAGAGGGUGGUGGAAUUUCCUGUGUAGCGGUGAAAUGCGUAGAUAUAGGAAGGAACACCAGUGGCGAAGGCGACCACCUGGACUGAUACUGACACUGAGGUGCGAAAGCGUGGGGAGCAAACAGGAUUAGAUACCCCGGUAGUCCCUGAGCGGGCUGGCAAGGCGCAU